rnacentral:rRNA from 1 species
AGUGAACGCUGGCGGUAGGCCUAACACAUGCAAGUCGAACGGCAGCACAGUAAGAGCUUGCUCUUACGGGUGGCGAGUGACGGACGGGCGAGGAAUACAUCGGAAUCUACUUUUUCGUGGGGGAUAACGUAGGGAAACUUACGCUAAUACCGCAUACGACCUACGGGUGAAAGCAGGGGAUCUUCGGACCUUGCGCGAUUGAAUGAGCCGAUGUCGGAUUAGCUAGUUGGCGGGGUAAAGGCCCACCAAGGCGACGAUCCGUAGCUGGUCUGAGAGGAUGAUCAGCCACACUGGAACUGAGACACGGUCCAGACUCCUACGGGAGGCAGCAGUGGGGAAUAUUGGACAAUGGGCGCAAGCCUGAUCCAGCCAUACCGCGUGGGUGAAGAAGGCCUUCGGGCUGUAAAGCCCUUUUGUUGGGAAAGAAAAGCAGCAGGUUAAUACCCCGCUGUUCUGACGGUACCCAAAGAAUAAGCACCGGCUAACUUCGUG